GGGGGUAUAGCUCAGUGGUAGAGCAUUUGACUGCAGAUCACGAGGUCCCCAGUUCAAAUCUGGGUGCCCCCU
rnacentral:tRNA from 2 species